rnacentral:rRNA from 1 species
ACUCAAAGGAAUAGACGGGGGCCCGCACAAGCGGUGGAGCAUGUGGAUUAAUUCGACGCAACGCGAAGAACCUUACCAAGGCUUGACAUGGAGACGCAGGGUAUAGAAAUAUGCCGUCCCUACGGGGCGUCUCACACAGGUGGUGCAUGGUUGUCGUCAGCUCGUGUCGUGAGAUGUUGGGUUAAGUCCCGCAACGAGCGCAACCCUUACGUUCAUUUGCCAGCAUGUAAAGAUGGGCACACUGGACGGACUGCCGUGGAGAACACGGAGGAAGGUGGGGAUGAUGUCAAAUCAUCAUGCCCCUUAUGUCUUGGGCUUCACACGUGCUACAAUGGUUUUAACAAAGUGAAGCGAAGCAGUGAUGCGGAGCGAAACACGAAAAAAGACCCCAGUUCGGAUUGCAGGCUGCAACUCGCCUGCAUGAAGUUGGAAUCGCUAGUAAUCGCGAAUCAGCAUGUCGCGGUGAAUACGUUCCCGGGCCUUGUACACACCGCCCGU